rnacentral:ncRNA from 1 species
GGGGCGCCUGGGAGGGUGAGAGCCCCGUUCGGCCCGGACCCUGUCGCCCCACGAGUCGCCGUCAACAAGUCGGCUUGUUUUGGAAUGCAGCCCAAAUCGGGUUGUAGACUCCGUCCAAGGCUAAAUACAGGCGAGAGACCGAUAGCGAACAAGUACCGCGAGGGAAAGAUGAAAAGGACUUUGAAAAGAGAGUCAAAGAGUGCUUGAAAUUGCCGGGAGGGAAGCGG